UACAGGGGGUGCAAACGUUGCUCGGAAUCAUUGGGCGUAAAGCGCACGUAGGCGGUUCGUUAUGUCGGAUGUGAAAGCCCUUGGCUUAACCGAGGAAGUGCAUCCGAAACUGGCGAGCUAGAGUACGAAAGAGGAUCGCGGAAUUCCCGGUGUAGAGGUGAAAUUCGUAGAUAUCGGGAGGAACACCGGUGGCGAAGGCGGCGAUCUGGGUCGAUACUGACGCUGAGGUGGCGAAAAGCGUGGGGAGCAAACAGG
rnacentral:rRNA from 1 species